rnacentral:rRNA from 1 species
UACGAAGGGGGCGAGCGUUGUCCGGAAUUAUUGGGCGUAAAGAGCGUGUAGGCGGCCAGGUAGGUCAGCUGUGAAAACUCGAGGCUCAACCUCGAGAUGUCGGCUGAAACCAUCUGGCUAGAGUCCGGAAGAGGAGAAUGGAAUUCCCGGUGUAGCGGUGAAAUGCGCAGAUAUCGGGAGGAACACCCGGUGGCGAAGGCGGGUCUCUGGGACGGUACUGACGCUGAGACGCGAAAGCGUGGGGAGCGAACAGG